rnacentral:rRNA from 1 species
AACGAACGCUGGCGGCAGGCUUCAUACAUGCAAGUCGAGCGGUAAGGUUCCCGCAAGGGGACCCUAGAGCGGCGAACGGGUGAGUAACAGGUGGAUAAUCUGCCUUUCGGUGGGGGAUAACGGCUGGAAACGGCCGCUAAUACCGCAUGUGGUUGUCGUGACUGAGGUUAUGGACAAAGAAAGGGCCGCAAGGCCUCGCCGAGAGAUGAGUCCGCCCCCCAUUAGCUAGUUGGCGGGAUAACAGCCCACCAAGGCUUCGAUGGGUAGCCGAGCUGAGAGGUUGAUCGGCCACACUGGAACUGAGACACGGUCCAGACACCUACGGGUGGCAG